UAAAAGUGAACUUCUCCUUUAAGACUAAAAUGUCACUUUGAGAAGCUUGAUAAAUACGGCUCUGGUCUUCUCAGCAUAAGCAGGUCGGGGCCCCUCUCCCUCCACCUAACAUCUGUGUGUGGACAAGAGCCACGGGGAAAGAGGGGUACUCCAAAACUAACAGGGUCUAUCAGUGUCAGCAGACACCCAGUCCUUGUAUCACAUCAGACAUAACCUUCAAACAAAGAAGGGUUCUUUACUUUCCAUUCCAGUUUUGUUUUCCAGCUUAGACUUUCCAAUCAGUGUCUAUAACAAACAACUUUAUGAUUUUCCCCACUGUUGCCAACUUCAGAAUUGUGAUUAUUAGAAAAUAAAGGAAAACAAUAAGGGAUGCUCAAAAUAUUUGUACUGUUUGAUUUGCUUAACCUAUCUAUGUUACAUUUUUCAAAAAAAAAAAAAAUCUCAAUGGCAUACAAAAUAAUAAUAAUAAUUGAGUAAAUUGUAUCAUUAUAGAAUUGUGUCUGCACAAGUAGUGUAGUGUAGUGCAACAUCUUACACAAAGAUGUUUCAUCAUGUUUGGACUUAAAGUGUUCAUAACAUUGCUGAAAGUAUUCUGGUUGUGGUUUGGAAAGUGAAAAUGCACCGGUAAAACUUAAGUGACACUUUUCUAAAUGUGUGUUUGGACAAUGCAAAUAAGUUUCACAGGAGGAAAGAAGGGAGGGUCACACAGCUCUGACAAAGCAACACCCAACGUAAUCACUUGCAUUUUAUGCAACUUAUGCAUUUUAUUUAUUACUUUUGCUUUUUCAUUCAUGGUUUUUAUUUAGUAGUUGUUGAUUACAUUUGUUUAUCUAUUCUUAAUACAACUAAUUGUAUUACUCUUGUGUCUUCCUUAUGUUAAUGAUACAGAAAGAGGCUCUCUGUGAUGUACUUAUAACCACACCUUAAGAGACACGUGAUCCAAAAAUCAUAACGUCAACAGUGACAUGUACACAUCACUGCACUAUUUCGCCUCCCUAAGUUUACAGUGUGGAUCCUCCAGUAGAGCAGAGCACAGCUUCACUCCUGAGUCUCCUGGUUUAUUAAAUCUCAGAUCCAGUUCUGUCAGGUGUGAGGAGUUUGAUCUCAGAGCUGAAAUCAGAGCAGCACAGCCUUUCUCUCCAAUACUGCAGCUACACAGCCUGCAGAGAGUGAAGCACAUGAAUGAUCUCUGAGACUGUGUUUAAGUUUUAGGGUGAGAGUGUGUUUGUGUGUGUGUUUGUAUGAGCACUACUUUUUCUAUACACCAGGAUCAGUGCUAUAGAGAUUUUAACUUGCCAGCAGCUAAAACAUUAAUUUAAAUGCACUCUACUCACAUGAUUCAUGAUUGUGAUGCUGAACUAGUUUAUAAUACUAUAUAGGUGAUAAUGUUAAAAUAGGAGUAAUAUUAUAGUGUAACUAUGACAUAUAU
ensembl:lncRNA